GGUGGUCAGGUAGAGAAUACCAAGGCGCUUGAGAGAACUCGGGUGAAGGAACUAGGCAAAAUGGUGCCGUAACUUCGGGAGAAGGCACGCUGAUAUGUAGGUGAAGUCCCUCGCGGAUGGAGCUGAAAUCAGUCGAAGAUACCAGCUGGCUGCAACUGUUUAUUAAAAACACAGCACUGUGCAAACACGAAAGUGGACGUAUACGGUGUGACGCCUGCCCGGUGCCGGAAGGUUAAUUGAUGGGGUCAGCGCAAGCGAAGCUCUUGAUCGAAGCCCCGGUAAACGGCGGCCGUAACUAUAACGGUCCUAAGGUAGCGAAAUUCCUUGUCGGGUAAGUUCCGACCUGCACGAAUGGCGUAAUGAUGGCCAGGCUGUCUCCACCCGAGACUCAGUGAAAUUGAACUCGCUGUGAAGAUGCAGUGUACCCGCGGCAAGACGGAAAGACCCCGUGAACCUUUACUAUAGCUUGACACUGAACAUUGAGCCUUGAUGUGUAGGAUAGGUGGGAGGCUUUGAAGUGUGGACGCCAGUCUGCAUGGAGCCGACCUUGAAAUACCACCCUUUAAUGUUUGAUGUUCUAACGUGGACCCGUGAUCCGGGUUGCGGACAGUGUCUGGUGGGUAGUUUGACUGGGGCGGUCUCCUCCUAAAGAGUAACGGAGGAGCACGAAGGUUGGCUAAUCCUGGUCGGACAUCAGGAGGUUAGUGCAAUGGCAUAAGCCAGCUUGACUGCGAGCGUGACGGCGCGAGCAGGUGCGAAAGCAGGUCAUAGUGAUCCGGUGGUUCUGAAUGGAAGGGCCAUCGCUCAACGGAUAAAAGGUACUCCGGGGAUAACAGGCUGAUACCGCCCAAGAGUUCAUAUCGACGGCGGUGUUUGGCACCUCGAUGUCGGCUCAUCACAUCCUGGGGCUGAAGUAGGUCCCAAGGGUAUGGCUGUUCGCCAUUUAAAGUGGUACGCGAGCUGGGUUUAGAACGUCGUGAGACAGUUCGGUCCCUAUCUGCCGUGGGCGCUGGAGAACUGAGGGGGGCUGCUCCUAGUACGAGAGGACCGGAGUGGACGCAUCACUGGUGUUCGGGUUGUCAUGCCAAUGGCACUGCCCGGUAGCUAAAUGCGGAAGAGAUAAGUGCUGAAAGCAUCUAAGCACGAAACUUGCCCCGAGAUGAGUUCUCCCUGACCCUUUAAGGGUCCUGAAGGAACGUUGAAGACGACGACGUUGAUAGGCCGGGUGUGUAAGCGCAGCGAUGCGUUGAGCUAACCGGUACUAAUGAACCGUGAGGCUUAACCUUACAACGCCGAAGGUGUUU
rnacentral:rRNA from 1 species